CCUCGUGUGGCAGCAGUGAGGAAUAUUGGUCAACGGACGAGAGUCUAAACCAGCCAAGUAGCGUGAAGGAUGACUGCCCUAUGGGUUGUAAACUUCUUUUAUAUGGGAAUAAAAUGUUCCACGUGUGGGAUUUUGUAUGUACCAUAUAAAUAAGGAUCGGCUAACUCCGUGCCAGCAGCCGCGGUAAUACGGAGGAUCCGAGCGUUAUCCGGAUUUAUUGGGUUUAAAGGGAGCGUAGGUGGAUUGUUAAGUCAGUUGUGAAAGUUUGCGGCUCAACCGUAAAAUUGCAGUUGAAACUGGCAGUCUUGAGUACAGUAGAGGUGGGCGGAAUUCGUGGUGUAGCGGUGAAAUGCUUAGAUAUCACGAAGAACUCCGAUUGCGAAGGCAGUUCACUGGACUGCAACUGACACUGAGGCUCGAAAGUGUGGGUAUCAAACAGGAUUAGAUACCCCAGUAGUC
rnacentral:rRNA from 1 species